GACGAACGCUGGCGGCGUGCCUAACACAUGCAAGUCAACUUGACUGAAGGAGCAAUCUGACAGUAGAGUGGCGCAAGGGUGCGUAACGCGUAAGUAACUUGCCCAAGGUAAGGAAUAACGUCGAGAAAUCGGCGCUAAUACCUCAUAAUGCAGCGGAUCCGCAUGGAUAUGUUGUUAAAGGUUUACCGCCUUGGGAUAGGCUUGCGUCUGAUUAGCUAGUUGGUGUGGUAACGGCACACCAAGGCUACGAUCAGUAACUGGUCUGAGAGGAUGAUCAGUCACACUGGAACUGAGACACGGUCCAGACUCCUACGGGAGGCAGCAGUGAGGAAUAUUGGGCAAUGCUCGAAAGAGUGACCCAGCAACGCCGCGUGGAGGAUGAAGGUAUUCUAUAUCGUAAACUCCUGUGAGAGCAGACGAAAGACAGAUUAUUAAUCUGGUAUGACUGUAUGCUCAGAGGAAGCCCCGGCUAA
rnacentral:rRNA from 1 species